GAUUUAUUUGGAUAUGCAGUGUUACCCAAAGCGAGUGAUAACGCCUUCAUAUAGGUUCCUGGAGUUGUUGUACAGCGGUAAAUGUGAAGAGUUCAGCAGUGUAGUGUGUCUCCUACGUAAGGUUUGAUUACUUCAAUGAGGUUUAUAUGAUGCUCAAGUUAGGUUUACUUGUUCCUAGAACGAGCUUUUUAAUUGGCCAGGUCAACCACUGAGGUCAACGCAGAAAAUUGAAUAUUGAAUUUGUUGUAAGAUGACAUUAUUUUAUAAUAUGAUUAUUAUAUUAUUAAUAUAUAAUAUAUUAAAACUUAUUUUAGUUUAACCAAAUAUAUUAUUUGACAUAUUAUUUAAUUGUAUAAUCAGAAUAUUAAUAUACUAAUUUUAAAUUAAUUAUAUAUUAAUAGUCAUUAAUACACGUACACAUUGACUUAUUUUUUCAUGUUUUAUUCAUUUCUUCUUCAUCGCGCACACAGGUGUGUAUCUAAUUCCAGUUUUUUUCUAUUUUUUUAAAAUGCCUCAUGAUAGUCCCAGCUUCUGUAUUUUGGGAACCCAUACAGAUUUGAAACCUUAUUCCCUAUGUCCUAGAAGCAUGAACUAUUGCCCUAAAUCCUUCAAGCCGAGGGCAGAGCGUGGCAAAUAUUGUCACUGGAGGUAAAGAUUUAAUACGUAAAUAUUAUAAUAUGCAUUUAUAUAUUAGCAUAGGUUCAAUCAAACUACAAUGUUUAAAAAUAAAUAAUUUAUGUACAUCGUUAGUUUAACAAAACUAUUACACUUACCCCUUUUUUUUAGUAUAAAAUAUUGGGGUUGAUCCUUACAAACUCUGAUAAAUAAAUUUUAACUGUCACUUGACAAAUCAUAGUAUAUAUUAAAAAAUCUUGAAAGGAACAAGGGGUAAUUGGAAAAAUCAUGCUAUACCCCCUCUUUUUAAUUUACCUCUCUUGCAUCUAGAUUUAUAACGCUUCGUGGAUGAAUUUUCAGGUUUUAUUCCCUUUUUGUUUUUUAUACACAUAUUUUUAGAUUUUUGUAGUUGAUGGGUGUGAUCAUACAAGCAAUAAUGCACUUGGUUGGUCCCAUCAAACCUCUAAAGGUAAGCCUGUUUGGGUAAGAGUAAUACCAGGAUGGGGACAGCUUGUGUCGUCCUCGUGUUGCACCCCUUUUUUAAUUUACUUCUCUUACAUAUAGAUUUAUACUGCUUUGCGGGAUGGAUAAUCAGGCUUUAUUCCCCUUUGUUACUUAUAUAAAUGUAUGUAUAGUUUUAAAUUUUUGUGGUUCUGGGGUACGUCAUUCCAACUCUAAUGCACUGGCUUUGAUCAGAUUUCCGAAUUUUUGACUCUGCUUGGGUGAUAGUAGUCCUAGGAUGGGUGACAACACCAUGGGAAGUCCUCAUGUUGGAUUGCUUUAAUCUACUUCUCUUGAAUCUAGAUUUAUAAUGCUUCUUGGGAUGGAUUUUUUGGUUUCAUUCCUUUUUUAUUAUUUAUAUACAUAUGUAUGUAUAGUUUUUAAUUUUUGUGGUUCAUGGAUGUGAUUAUACUAACACUAAAUGCAUUGGAUCUCAUUAGAUCUCCAAAGCUAAGCAUGUUUGAGUAAGAGUAGUACUAGAAUGGGUGACACUUUGGAAGUCUUUGUGUUGCACCCUGUUUUGAUUUGCUUGUCUUGCAUCUAUAUUUGUAAUGCUUCGUGUGAUGGACUUUUAGGUUUUAUUUCUUUUUUCAUAAUUUACAUUGAUAUGUACGUAUGUAUGCAUGUAUGUAUGUUUUUCACCACUAUCGCAUGAAACUUUUCUAUUUGAAGAUGUUGAAACUUUAUCGCAUCAUUUGCUUGCUUGAGGGUUGCAUUGGGAAGUGCAUCUGGUGAAAAAUUAGUUGAUGAUAAUUAGUAGUUGACUUUGAGAUGCAUUAGUAGUUAUCCACUAAAUAUUUGGCCAUGUUUGGUAAAUGCUUUCAAGAAUCUUAUUUAUGGAUUUUAUUUUUCCAUCUAAUCACCUUGAAUUUAUUAGUUUCAUGAUUUAUAUAUUUACAUGGUACAAAAUCUUAAGUUGAGCCUCCUAUAGGCGUGAUUUUCUUUUGAUACCUAAUCACUUUGAAAGUAUUAGUUCUAUGAUUGACAUACAUUGUAUGAAUUCUUGAUACAUGUAUAUAUUUAGUAAUUCAUUGGAGGAUUUUUGUCAUGAUCUUUCAUGGAUCAUCAAUUGGUCUUUAACCUUGACCUCAGAGUAUAUUGCUAUUCUUGAUUGCUCAACGAACUUGGCUUUAGGUCCCUAUGCUUUGGAAUGAUUUCUUUGACAGUAUUAUACAAAUCCUUUGUGAAAUCGUAGGACUACAGUUUUGGCAUUUCCUUUGUUGUCCACCUCAUCUGGCUGUUAUUUAAUGAUUUGCUAAUUCAUUGGAGGACUCGAGAUAUCACCUUUGAUCAAUGGGAAUUUUGCAAUUCUCACUUUGUGGUUUCUCUCUUGUGCUUGGGUAGUCUGAAACGAAAUUAGAACUUCAUUGUGAAAUUGGUAACCUGAAUUAUAGAGAGCAACGUGGUUUGGACCAUAUAAGCUGGGAAUACUUCCAGUUUGUCUAAUUUCCUUUGCUAUGUGAAGUUCAGACCAGCUAAACAGGAAGUGGUGAUGGUUAGAUAUAGAUUAUAGAGAGAAUUGAAAUGAACGUGCACCUCUCCUUGAAUAAAAGCACUCGCUUGCCCCUCUACCUAUUAAGCCUAAAUAAUUUAGGAUUAUGCACGUGUUGUGGACAUUGUUUGUUGAGGUACUUAGGCUAGGCUUUAUGCUACAGCUAGUGGUAGUUGGAUUGUUGUUAUCUAUUUUGUCAUCCUCUUUCUUUUCGUUAUCACAUAUGUGAUAGCUACAGCCAUGGUUACUGUGAAAUUACCUUUACCUAUUUAUUCGCAGAUCCAGAAAGCCAGUUUUAGAUAAUCAUCAUAUACACAUGGUGAGGAAGAACAAGCAAGAAUUCAUUGAUUAGUUACUGUUAACCACGGAAAGGAUGAUUGAGGGGAAUGUUAGAAAUCCUUUCUAGGGGAUAUUCAACGAAGGCCUCUGGGAAUAUGCUGCUAUCUGGAAGGGGUGAAUAGUACUGGGACUGGCGGGGAUUGUUGUGAUAAAAGCUCUUUACAUUUUAAUGAAUAUAUAGAUCAAUAUAUUAUACUAGGCUAAUAGUGGAUAUCAAGGUUCCUUAAGUUGGAAAAUAUAUGUGAUGUGUCACUUUCAGGAAGGAAUCCCAAGCCCGUGUUGUGUGCGCGGUCACGUGUAAUUCUGUUGAUCUCAAUAUUUGUUGUAAUUUAUUAAUAGCAAGAACUCUCAUAAGAUAGUUUGAUAUUAUCUUGCAAUGUAGUUUCAUAUUUUAUUCGACAACCAGAUUUGCAGAAUCAGUGAUGUUACUUCUUACACCUUUUUUUUUUGUGUGACAGUGAUUGUAUAUGUGCCAUUCACUAUAUUUAAUUAGUUGCAUGGGAUUCUGAUUGAUCUUCGAAAUUUGUUCAAUACGAAACCUACUUUUAAUUGCUCAACAUAUGGGGACAAUUUUCAAACUGGGUGUGGGGCUGGAGUGAUCGGAAAAAGCCAGCAUCCGAGUGAUCUUUGAUUUGGGUUAAUUUAAGAAUCGGAGACAGCUCUUGGAAUAACUUGGAGUGAUUGGAAGUCAUCUGAUUGGAGAUUCAACCAAUCAACGGUUAAGAUCUUUUAUCAUUGCUUCAGGAUUCGAUUGCUAGUUACUUAUUGAGAAAAAGAGAUUAGAGAUUGGAUCCUAUUUGAGAGACUUACACUCAAAUAGACUCGAGCUAUCUGAGAUUUUGCAUUUUUAAUUGUAAAGGGCUAAACUACGGCAUUGGAACACAAAGCAUUGAUUUGCACUCAAACAAAGAAAAAGCCCAGAAAGGAAGAAAGAAAUCAUGAGGUUUGGCAUGAUUUAAGGGAUGGAUUUGGCCAGGAGGAAGCUUGAACUUGUAGUUAACAAAUUCCCACGUUUUCAAGGCAUCAGCUCAGCAGAUUCGAAAGUGACAGUUUUUUUGAAGUUAUAAUUGGAGCAGUGUGUGGCCGGGAAUGAGAUGGCUAUGGAAGUGGGGACAUUCAUGAAUAAUGCUGAAUCAGCUCUCACUCAUAUAAUUAUAGAGCGAUCCAUCAUGUGUACCCGGCAGCCCCAAGGCCGCUUGUGGAGCUAUGCUGUGACGAACAUCUUGUCGCUAUAGCCCUUUCUCACCAUGUUCAUGCCAGCACGCCAUCGCCGUAGUGCACGAUCACAUCUUCCCUGCCAUUAAUUCCAAACAGUAGAGUUAAAUGUUCCUACUCUUUUCCUUUAACUUUAACGAAAGCAAGAGUGUUGAAAUGUUACUUGUUUUUGGCAACAUUUACAUUUAUGUUAUUUAUGUUGUCUGACGUGAGCUAACAAGGGAGAGAGGGUGAGGUCUAUAGCCGGACUCACCCCCACUCCUCACAAUUAUUUGC